UACGGAGGGAGCUAGCGUUGUUCGGAAUUACUGGGCGUAAAGCGCGCGUAGGCGGCUUUGUAAGUUAGAGGUGAAAGCCCGGAGCUCAACUCCGGAACUGCCUUUAAAACUGCAUCGCUUGAAUCCAGGAGAGGUGAGUGGAAUUCCGAGUGUAGAGGUGAAAUUCGUAGAUAUUCGGAGGAACACCAGUGGCGAAGGCGGCUCACUGGCUCGGUACUGACGCUGAGGUGCGAAAGCGUGGGGAGCAAACAGG
rnacentral:rRNA from 1 species